AGUGAACGCUGGCGGUAGGCCUAACACAUGCAAGUCGAACGGCAGCACAGUAAGAGCUUGCUCUUACGGGUGGCGAGUAGCGGACGGGUGAGGAAUACAUCGGAAUCUACUUUUUCGUGGGGGAUAACGUAGGGAAACUUACGCUAAUACCGCAUACGACCUACGGGUGAAAGCAGGGGAUCUUCGGACCUUGCGCGAUUGAAUGAGCCGAUGUCGGAUUAGCUAGUUGGCGGGGUAAAGGCCCACCAAGGCGACGAUCCGUAGCUGGUCUGAGAGGAUGAUCAGCCACACUGGAACUGAGACACGGUCCAGACUCCUACGGGAGGCAGCAGUGGGGAAUAUUGGACAAUGGGCGCAAGCCUGAUCCAGCCAUACCGCGUAGGUGAAGAAGGCCUUCGGGUUGUAAAGCCCUUUUGUUGGGAAAGAAAAGCAGCAGGUUAAUACCCCGCUGUUCUGACGGUACCCAAAGAAUAAGCACCGGCUAACUUCGUG
rnacentral:rRNA from 1 species